UACGUAGGGUGCGAGCGUUAAUCGGAAUUACUGGGCGUAAAGCGCGCGUAGGCGGCUUUGCAAGUCGGGUGUGAAAUCCCCAGGCUUAACCUGGGAACUGCAUUCGAGACUGCAUUGCUAGAGUAUGGGAGAGGGAAGUGGAAUUUCCGGUGUAGCGGUGAAAUGCGUAGAUAUCGGAAGGAACAUCAGUGGCGAAAGCGACUUCCUGGACCAAUACUGACGCUCAUGUGCGAAAGCGUGGGGAUCAAACAGG
rnacentral:rRNA from 1 species